GACGUAGGGGGCGAGCGUUGUCCGGAUUUAUUGGGCGUAAAGCGUGCGUAGGCGGCUGCGCAAGUCGGGUGUGAAACCCCGGGGCUCAACCCCGGAACUGCAUCCGAUACUGCGUGGCUAGAGGUAGGUAGGGGAGAUCGGAAUUCCUGGUGUAGCGGUGAAAUGCGCAGAUAUCAGGAGGAACACCGGUGGCGAAGGCGGGUCUCUGGGCAACUACUGACGCUGAGGAGCGAAAGCGUGGGGAGCGAACAGG
rnacentral:rRNA from 1 species